rnacentral:rRNA from 1 species
CCUANGGGGGGCAGCAAUUAGGAAUCUUGCGCAAUGGGCGAAAGCCUGACGCAGCGACGUCGCGUGACCGAUGAAGUCUUUCGGGAUGUAAAGGUCUUUUUUGGGGGAAGAAGGAUGUGACGGUACCCCAAGAAUAAGCCCCGGCUAACUACGUGCCAGCAGCCGCGGUAAUACGUAGGGGGCGAGCGUUGUCCGAAUUCACUGGGCGUAAAGCGCGCGUAGGCGGGUUAUUAAGUUGAGGGUGAAAUCCCGGAGCUCAACUCCGGAACUGCCUUCAAAACUGGUAGCCUUGAGGUAUGGAGAGGGAAGUGGAAUUCCAGGUGUAGCGGUGAAAUGCGUAGAUAUCUGGAGGAACACCCGUGGCGAAGGCGGCUUCCUGGUCAUAUCCUGACGCUGAGGUGCGAAAGCUAGGGGAGCGAACGGGAUUAGAUACCCUUNUANUC